AUAACUUGUAUGUUGAAAAUGCUAAAGGCAAAAAGCUAACAGAUUUCCCGAACUCGAAUGAACGUGCUCGACUGUUAGCUUUGGUUUUAGGAAAAUCAAAAAUGUUGUUGGUUGAAUAUAAUUUACAUUUGGUUGAAUAUUUAAAAGAUAAACUUGGGUUUGUUUACGUCUGUCAUUUGAAGUCAGGAUUCGAACGAGAGUGGUCGAUUUGUUGAGUUUGUGUUGUUAAUUGUGAAGUGAGAGGAUGUAAAAGGUGAAAAUUACACUAUUUAGUUGAAGUGGCAAAUCAAAGUGUUGCAACUGGGGAGGUGGAAUUGGUGAGUAGGUUUGUUGAUGAUUUCUUUGCAGGUGAUAUACUAUGAAGAGCAAGAGGAUGGCCUUCGCCAUGAGGACCUCUGAUGCGAGUGAGUUGAACACGUUAUAAGAAUGUUUGAAGGAAAGAGAGGGCAGAAGAAGGGAGAUGCGGGCCAGCUCUUCACGGAUAGAGCAGCCCGGGCAAAUUUAACAAAAUGUUGGUUAAUCCAAAAUCAUCAAUUAUAAAAUACAUAGAAAUGCGUACACAUGACAACAUAAAAAAUAAAGAUGAAGUAAAACAUAAAAAAAUAAAAAUAUAUAAAAGAAGAUAAUUAUUAUCUUGAAAGUUUUGUUGCAAUACGUGUGCUCAAUAAACUGGUAAGUAAAACUCUAAAUAUUUUUUUCAGGAAUCGGAGUACGUUGAAUAAAUUAAAUCAAAUGCAAUGAAAGUUUGUUGCCAAAAGUAAUUGUUAAAUUAAUGCAAGCUUGGUAAGUAGCAUUAUUGAUAUUUCUUCUUUCCUCAUUAUAAUUACAUUUAUUUACGUUCCUUUUUUCAGUUUAUAGCCAAAAUUAAGAAUUUUGUAUUAAAUUACUAAUACAUUUUACAUGUCUAUUUGCAGCAAACGGUUCACUUUAGUGAAAAUUCUGUGUCCAACCACAAGAAAAAUAACUAAACCUGAGACCAUUGUAGAUGAUGAUGACUUAUCGGAUGAUUUCACAAAGAUGGUAAGUGAAUACAACACUUUAUUUUAAACAACAUAAUUAAAAUAUAAGAUUAAAACUUGGUGAAUAUUUUGCUCGGUUUCUAUUUUUAAGGAGUUCACGAGAAAUUAAACAUCUUUUUUAAAUAUGUUUAACAAAAUUUGUAAUAUGCUUUUUUAAUUAUUUUUUAGUUUAAUGCAACGUAUUUUUUUAAAACAUUAAUCAAACUUUAUAUGUUUUAUAACAACAGUUAAAAAAAAGUUUUGUUUUGAUGCUUUUUAACAGUAAUUUAACAACUUCAUGCAAAAAAAAAAAACAUAUUAGUACGAAACGUAAAAUUUUUAGGAAGAAUAAAUGCGAAUAUAAAAACACUCAGCAUUAAUUUGUGAGGCACUAUUACAAAAUUUACUGCAAAUUCAAUAAAAAUAUUGCUAACAACUGCUAGUUAUUGACUACAUGUAAAAAUAUUUUUCUGUAUUCAAGUAAGACAUUAGUUAAAAUAUAGAUAGAAAUUCGUCCCACCCUGUAUCGUUAGAUAAUUAAAGAAAAUAUAAAGCAACACUUACAUAAAUUAUGCCUAAUUAAGAAAUGUUUUGUUAUAAACCAAAAAUAAUU